UACGUAGGGUGCGAGCGUUUGUCCGGAAUUAUUGGGCGUAAAGAGCUCGUAGGCGGUCUGUCGCGUCGGCUGUGAAAUCCCGAGGCUCAACCUCGGGUCUGCAGUCGAUACGGGCAAACUAGAGUAUUGCAGGGGAGACUGGAAUUCCUGGUGUAGCGGUGAAAUGCGCAGAUAUCAGGAGGAACACCGAUGGCGAAGGCAGGUCUCUGGGCCGAUACUGACGCUGAGGAGCGAAAGCGUGGGGGAGCGAACAGG
rnacentral:rRNA from 1 species